rnacentral:rRNA from 1 species
GUGUCAGCCGCCGCGGUAAUACAGGGGGCGCGAGCGUUGCUCGGAAUCACUGGGCGUAAAGCGUACGCAGGCGGGUCGAUAAGUCCGUUGUGAAAUCCCGGGGCUCAACCCCGGAAAUGCGAUGGAGACUGCCGAUCUUGAGUACGGGAGAGGGGAGCGGAAUUCCUGGUGUAGAGGUGAAAUUCGUAGAUAUCAGGAGGAACACCGGUGGCGAAAGCGGCUCCCUGGCCCGAUACUGACGCUCAUGUACGAAAGCGUGGGGAGCAAACAGGAUUAGAAACCCGCGUAGUCC